rnacentral:rRNA from 1 species
GUAUUUUGACCGUGCAAAGGUAGCGCAAUCACUUGUCUUUUAAAUGAAGACCUGUAUGAAUGGUGGAACGAGGGCUUAACUGUCUCCCCCUUCUAGUCAAUGAAAUUGAUUUACCCGUGCAGAAGCGGGUAUAACAAUACAAGACGAGAAGACCCUUUGGAGCUUAAGAUAAAAAACCAACUAUGUCAAAAGUCCUAAAAAAGACUAAACCAAAUAGUACUGGUCCUAAUCUUCGGUUGGGGUGACCACGGGAGAAAACAAAGCUCCCAUGCGGAUUGGGGUAAUUCCCUAAAACUAAGAGAGACAUCUCUAAGACGCAGAACAUCUGACCAUAAAGAUCCGGCUACAUGCCGACCAACGGACCAAGUUACCCUAGGGAUAACAGCGCAAUCCCCUUCCAGAGUCCAUAUCGACAAGGGGGUUUACGACCUCGAUGUUGGAUCAGGACAUCCU